GACGAACGCUGGCGGCGUGCUUAACACAUGCAAGUCGUACGGUAAGGCCCUUUCGGGGGUACACGAGUGGCGAACGGGUGAGUAACACGUGAGUAACCUGCCCACAACUUUGGGAUAACGCUAGGAAACUGGUGCUAAUACUGGAUAUGUGCUCCUGCUGCAUGGUGGGGGUUGGAAAGCUCCGGCGGUUGUGGAUGGACUCGCGGCCUAUCAGCUUGUUGGUGGGGUAGUGGCCUACCAAGGCGGCGACGGGUAGCCGGCCUGAGAGGGUGACCGGCCACAGUGGGACUGAGAUACGACCCAGACGCCUACGGGAGGCAGCAGUGGGGAAUAUUGCACAAUGGGCGCAAGCCGGAUGCAGCAACGCCGCGUGCGGGAUGACGGCCUUCGGGUUGUAAACCGCUUUCAGCAGGGACGAAGCUUUUUGUGACGGUACCUGCAGAAGAAGCACCGGCUAACUACGUG
rnacentral:rRNA from 1 species